rnacentral:rRNA from 1 species
GAUGAACGCUGGCGGCGUGCUUAACACAUGCAAGUCGAACGAAGCACUUUAUUACGAUUUCUUCGGAAUGACGAUUUAGUGACUGAGUGGCGGACGGGUGAGUAACGCGUGGGUAACCUGCCUUAUACAGGGGGAUAACAGUUAGAAAUGACUGCUAAUACCGCAUAAGCGCACAGGAUUGCAUGAUCUGGUGUGAAAAACUCCGGUGGUAUAAGAUGGACCCGCGUCUGAUUAGCUGGUUGGUGAGGUAACGGCCCACCAAGGCGACGAUCAGUAGCCGACCUGAGAGGGUGACCGGCCACAUUGGGACUGAGACACGGCCCAAACUCCUACGGGAGGCAGCAGUGGGGAAUAUUGCACAAUGGGGGAAACCCUGAUGCAGCGACGCCGCGUGAGCGAAGAAGUAUUUCGGUAUGUAAAGCUCUAUCAGCAGGGAAG